GAUGAACGCUGGCGGUAUGCUUAACACAUGCAAGUCGAACGGUCACUUCGGUGAUAGUGGCGGAUGGGUGAGUAACGCGUGAGAAUCUGUCUUCAGGUCGGGGACAACAGUUAGAAAUGACUGCUAAUACCGGAUGUGCCUUUGGGUGAAAGAUUUAUUGCCUGAAAAAGAGCUCGCGUCAGAUUAGCUAGUAGGUGGUGUAAGAGACUACCUAGGCUCCGAUCUGUAGCUGGUCUGAGAGGACGAUCAGCCACACUGGAACUGAGACACGGUCCAGACUCCUACGGGAGGCAGCAGUGGGGAAUUUUCCGCAAUGGGCGGAAGCCUGACGGAGCAAUACCGCGUGAGGGACGAAGGCUUUUGGGUCGUAAACCUCUUUUCUCAAGGAAGAUGAUGACGGUACUUGAGGAAUAAGCAUCGGCUAACUCUGUG
rnacentral:rRNA from 1 species